rnacentral:tRNA from 1 species
UAGCUCAGUCAGUUGAGCGUGGCGCUAACAACGCCAAGGUCGCAGGUUCGAUUCCCGU